rnacentral:rRNA from 1 species
UACGUAGGGGGCAAGCGUUGUCCGGAUUUAUUGGGCGUAAAGAGCGUGUAGGCGGCCAAGCAGGUCCGCUGUGAAAACUCGAGGCUCAACCUCGAGACGUCGGUGGAAACCGUUUGGCUAGAGUCCGGAAGAGGAGAGUGGAAUUCCUGGUGUAGCGGUGAAAUGCGCAGAUAUCAGGAAGAACACCAAUGGCGAAGGCGGGUUGCUGGGCUGACACUGACGCUGACAGCGCGAAAGCUAGGGGAGCGAACGGG